rnacentral:rRNA from 1 species
GUGCAGCAGGCGCGAAACCUCCGCAAAUACACGAAAGUGUGACGGGGCCAUCCCGAGUGCCGUCCGCUGAGGACGGCUUUUCCCCGAGUGUACAUAGCUGGGGGAAUAAGGAGAGGGCAAGCCUGGUGUCGGCCGCCGCGGUAAUACCAGCUCGUCCGAGUGGUGGGGACGCUUAUUGGGCCUAAAGCAUCCGUAGCCGGCUGGGCAAGGUCCUCCGUUAAAUCCAACGAUUCAA